rnacentral:rRNA from 1 species
GCGCGAUACAGGGUGACAGCCCCGUACACAAAAGCGCAUGUGCUGUGAGCUCGAUGAGUAGGGCGGGACACGUGGUAUCCUGUCUGAAUAUGGGGGGACCAUCCUCCAAGGCUAAAUACUCCUGACUGACCGAUAGUGAACCAGUACCGUGAGGGAAAGGCGAAAAGAACCCCGGCGAGGGGAGUGAAAAAGAACCUGAAACCGUGUACGUACAAGCAGUGGGAGCACAGGUUUACCUGUGUGACUGCGUACCUUUUGUAUAAUGGGUCAGCGACUUAUAUUCUGUAGCAAGGUUAACCGUAUAGGGGAGCCGUAGGGAAACCGAGUCUUAACCGGGCGUUAAGUUGCAGGGUAUAGACCCGAAACCCGGUGAUCUAGCCAUGGGCAGGUUGAAGGUUGGGUAACACUAACUGGAGGACCGAACCGACUAAUGUUGAAAAAUUAGCGGAUGACCUGUGGCUGGGGGUGAAAGGCCAAUCAAACCGGGAGAUAGCUGGUUCUCCCCGAAAGCUAUUUAGGUAGCGCCUCGUGAAUUCAUCUCCGGGGGUAGAGCACUGUUUCGGCUAGGGGGCCAUCCCGGCUUACCAACCCGAUGCAAACUGCGAAUACCGGAGAAUGUUAUCACGGGAGACACACGGCGGGUGCUAACGUCCGUCGUGAAGAGGGAAACAACCCAGACCGCCAGCUAAGGUCCCAAAGUCAUGGUUAAGUGGGAAACGAUGUGGGAAGGCCCAGACAGCCAGGAUGUUGGCUUAGAAGCAGCCAUCAUUUAAAGAAAGCGUAAUAGCUCACUGGUCGAGUCGGCCUGCGCGGAAGAUGUAACGGGGCUAAACCAUGCACCGAAGCUGCGGCAGCGAACGUAUCACCCAAGACAACUUUACGGAGUUGACGAUUGACGGAGCGAAGCGACGUCAAAGCGUUCAUUAAAGUCGAGUUGGCUUAGGGAUACGUUCGUUGGGUAGGGGAGCGUUCUGUAAGCCUGUGAAGGUGUGUCGUGAGGCAUGCUGGAGGUAUCAGAAGUGCGAAUGCUGACAUAAGUAACGAUAAAGCGGGUGAAAAGCCCGCUCGCCGGAAGACCAAGGGUUCCUGUCCAACGUUAAUCGGGGCAGGGUGAGUCGACCCCUAAGGCGAGGCCGAAAGGCGUAGUCGAUGGGAAACGGGUUAAUAUUCCCGUACUUGGUGUUACUGCGAAGGGGGGACGGAGAAGGCUAUGUUGGCCGGGCGACGGUUGUCCCGGUUUAAGCGUGUAGGUGUGUGUUCCAGGUAAAUCCGGUUCACUUUAACACUGAGGCGUGACGACGAGGCACUACGGUGCUGAAGCAACAAAUGCCCUGCUUCCAGGAAAAGCCUCUAAGCAUCAGGUAACACGAAAUCGUACCCCAAACCGACACAGGUGGUCAGGUAGAGAAUACCAAGGCGCUUGAGAGAACUCGGGUGAAGGAACUAGGCAAAAUGGUGCCGUAACUUCGGGAGAAGGCACGCUGACACGUAGGUGAAGUGAUUUACUCAUGGAGCUGAAGUCAGUCGAAGAUACCAGCUGGCUGCAACUGUUUAUUAAAAACACAGCACUGUGCAAACACGAAAGUGGACGUAUACGGUGUGACGCCUGCCCGGUGCCGGAAGGUUAAUUGAUGGGGUCAGCGCAAGCGAAGCUCCUGAUCGAAGCCCCGGUAAACGGCGGCCGUAACUAUAACGGUCCUAAGGUAGCGAAAUUCCUUGUCGGGUAAGUUCCGACCUGCACGAAUGGCGUAAUGAUGGCCAGGCUGUCUCCACCCGAGACUCAGUGAAAUUGAACUCGCUGUGAAGAUGCAGUGUACCCGCGGCAAGACGGAAAGACCCCGUGAACCUUUACUAUAGCUUGACACUGAACAUUGAGCCUUGAUGUGUAGGAUAGGUGGGAGGCUUUGAAGUGUGGACGCCAGUCUGCAUGGAGCCGACCUUGAAAUACCACCCUUUAAUGUUUGAUGUUCUAACGUGGACCCGUAAUCCGGGUUGCGGACAGUGUCUGGUGGGUAGUUUGACUGGGGCGGUCUCCUCCUAAAGAGUAACGGAGGAGCACGAAGGUUGGCUAAUCCUGGUCGGACAUCAGGAGGUUAGUGCAAUGGCAUAAGCCAGCUUGACUGCGAGCGUGACGGCGCGAGCAGGUGCGAAAGCAGGUCAUAGUGAUCCGGUGGUUCUGAAUGGAAGGGCCAUCGCUCAACGGAUAAAAGGUACUCCGGGGAUAACAGGCUGAUACCGCCCAAGAGUUCAUAUCGACGGCGGUGUUUGGCACCUCGAUGUCGGCUCAUCACAUCCUGGGGCUGAAGUAGGUCCCAAGGGUAUGGCUGUUCGCCAUUUAAAGUGGUACGCGAGCUGGGUUUAGAACGUCGUGAGACAGUUCGGUCCCUAUCUGCCGUGGGCGCUGGAGAACUGAGGGGGGCUGCUCCUAGUACGAGAGGACCGGAGUGGACGCAUCACUGGUGUUCGGGUUGUCAUGCCAAUGGCACUGCCCGGUAGCUAAAUGCGGAAGAGAUAAGUGCUGAAAGCAUCUAAGCACGAAACUUGCCCCGAGAUGAGUUCUCCCUGAGACUUAGAGUCUCCUGAAGGAACGUUGAAGACGACGACGUUGAUAGGCCGGGUGUGUAAGCGCAGCGAUGCGUUGAGCUAACCGGUACUAAUGAACCGUGAGGCUUAACCUUACA